UGAUCAGCUGGAGGUCUGGCCGACCGGGAGGCAGCCCGACCACGGCGCCUCCGCGACCGCCCGCCCCGGGCACUGGGAGGUUGAAGCUCCCACCACCCCGAUGGCAUUUUAAACAAAAAAAAAAAAAAAAAAAACCUCUGCUGGGUCCCAAACUGGCUGGUUCCUUCUGUGACGGUACGGGUGCUGGGACCCAGGCGCAGAGUGGAAAAAACACGAAACUCAAAGGGGAGAAAAUUAACAAAGACUUUACUUACAGAAAGGCAAACACACGGAACAGAAAAGGACACGAAGGGCAAAAACACAAACUCAAAAAAUCUAAAUAAGGCAAACAAACAGGGAACAGAAAGGACACAAAGGGAAAAAACACAAACUCAAAAAAUAUCUAAAUAAAACAGAAAACAAGAGGAACUCACAAACAUGGGCAGGGCAGAACACAGGCAGGUAGCAGACAAGGGCAGGUCAAACAAAACACAAGUCAGAACAAACACAGGCAGGUACAUACGCUUGAAACCAACAGAUAUCGGGAACAAACACAAGGAACCAGCACCCGAGUCAAGGGAACAGAGAACUUAAAUAGACAGGGGUAACAAGACACAGGUGAACUCAAAAAACAAUCGAACCAGAAGGAGGGGAUAAGACAGGUGGGAACAAUGAUGGGAUAACGAGACAAUGAAACAAUCAUACAAUUAACAGGGGGGGAGCAGGACACAAAACAGAAGUGCCGCCAUCUGGCGGCCCAACAGGGGAAACACAGACAGGAAAACAGGACCAUGACAACACAGGAGAGGAGGAGGAGGAAGAGGAAGGGCAAGGGCAAGGAGACAAAUAGUUUCUGGAACUGGUUGAGGAUGAAACAGGCCUAUCGUGUUCCUUUUGAAAGGAACUCCAAUAGAGUCAAAGACCAGCGCUUGAAAUAUGUGCAAGUAUGCUUUUUCAUACUUGAUACAGUAUUUGAAUACAGUUAUGUAUUACAGCAGUAUAUACUGUAGUACAGGCUAUAUGAUGGCCUACUUUUGUGUACUAUAGCAAUGUGUUUCAGAGUAGUCAUUACUGUACUGAGUUUCAUCUCUUUUGUAGAGAAUCUUUGAUAUUGAUGCCAGAGACACUCCUCACAAACUCAUCUUUUUGAUGAAGCAGGAUUUACUGUAAUCUUACCAAAAGGAGGAGAAGGGGGAGGAACAUAAUUGGUCCUCCACCGCCAUGCCACCCUUGGUCCAUACAACACCAUGAAUCUUCUGCCUUUCCUCGAUGGUCCGCGAGAUCAUGUAUACCGACUUGACCAGAGGGAGCCAGCACAACCAGGGCAGCCAUGCUAUGUUGUCAUUUGGGACAAUGUCAGUUUCCACCGGGCUGCUCUCGUUCGUGACUGGUUCACGAACAACCCAAGAUUCAGCAACAUCUUUCUACCUGCAUAUUCUCCCUUCCUAAACCCCAUAGAGGAGUUUUUUGGCAUGGCGGUGGAAGGUCUAUGACCGAGACCCCUACAUCCGUGUUCACCUCCUCCAGGCCAUGGAGGAGGCUUGUUUAGAUAUUACAGUUGAGGCUCGCCAGGGGUGGAUAAGACAUGCAAGGGGUUUUUUCCCCCUCUGCCUGGCUGGGGCUAAUAUUAAUGUGAUGUUGAUGAGAAUCUCUGGUCUGACCCAGACCAGGGAAGGGAUGCUGAGGCAGAAUGAAUGUGAUUUCUUUCUUUAUGUACAAACAGUUUUUUUUCAUUGGUUUAUAUUGGUAAAUACAUGGAAAUUAUUUUACUGUAUUCUACGUUCUUUAUGUAUCAGUUGCAUAUUUUUAUAGAACAUUUACUUUUCCACUCAAUUUCAGUUUAUUUUACUACAGUACAUUGAGGAAUUAAAAAUUUUGCAAAUUUA